rnacentral:rRNA from 1 species
UACGUAUGGAGCAAGCGUUAUCCGGAUUUACUGGGUGUAAAGGGAGCGUAGGUGGCGUGGCAAGUCAGAAGUGAAAGCCCAGGGCUCAACUCUGGGAUUGCUUUUGAAACUGUCAUGCUAGAGUGCAGGAGAGGUAAGUGGAAUUCCUAGUGUAGCGGUGAAAUGCGUAGAUAUUAGGAGGAACACCAGUGGCGAAGGCGGCUUACUGGACUGUAACUGACACUGAGGCUCGAAAGCGUGGGUAG